GAUGAAGAACGUAGCGAAAUGCGAUACGUAAUGUGAAUUGCAGAAUUCAGUGAAUCAUCGAAUCUUUGAACGCACAUUGCGCCCCCUGGUAUUCCGGGGGGCAUGCCUGUCCGAGCGUCAUUGCAACCCUCAAGCGCGGCUUGUGUGUUGGGCUUCGUCCCCCCGUGGACGUGCCCGAAAGGCAGUGGCGGCGUCCCGAAUGGUGCCCGAGCGUAUGGGAACUCUCUUCCGCUCGAACCGGCCCAUUCGGCGCUGGUCGAACCCCAAUUUUUUUUUACCGGUUGACCUCGGAUCAGGUAGGGAUACCCGCUGAACUUAAGCAUAUCAAUAAGCGGAGGA
rnacentral:misc_RNA from 1 species